UACGUAGGGUGCGAGCGUUGUCCGGAAUUACUGGGCGUAAAGAGCUCGUAGGUGGUUUGUCGCGUUGUUCGUGAAAACCUGAGGCUUAACCUUGGGCGUGCGGGCGAUACGGGCAGACUGGAGUACUGCAGGGGAGACUGGAAUUCCUGGUGUAGCGGUGGAAUGCGUAGAUAUCCGGAGGAACACCGGUGGCGAAGGCGGCUUCCUGGACCGACACUGACGCUGAGGCGCGAAAGCUAGGGGAGCAAACGGG
rnacentral:rRNA from 1 species